GUUUAUGUAUGACAAGAACAUAUACUAAAAUUAAAAUGAUACAGAGAAGAUCAGCAUGGCCCUUGCGCAAGGAUGGCACGCAAAUUUCUGAAGCAUUCCAUAAAAAA